rnacentral:rRNA from 1 species
AGAGUUUGAUCCUGGCUCAGGAUGAACGCUAGCGGUGCGCCUAACACAUGCAAGUCGAACGGGAAAGGAGGGGAGCUUGCCUCCCUCCGGACCAGUGGCAGACGGGCGAGUAACGAGUUUGUACCUGCCCCGUAGUGAGGGAUACCCUGUCGAAAGACAGGUUAAUACCGCAUGGUCCCGCAAGGGUAAAGCCGCAAGGCGCUACGGGAGGGGCAUGCUUCCUAUCAGCUAGUUGGCGGGGUAAAGGCCCACCAAGGCUAUGACGGGUAGCUGGAUUGAGAGAUCGACCAGCCGCAAUGGGACUGAGACACGGCCCAUACUCCUACGGGAGGCAGCAGUGAGGAAUCUUCCGCAAUGGGCGAAAGCCUGACGGAGCGACACCGCGUGAAGGAUGAAGCCUUUAUUGGUGUAAACUUCUUUCUGUGGGAAGAUGAUGACGGUACCACAGGAAUAAGGGGCGGCAAACUAUGUG